AGGAUGAACGCUAGCGGCAGGCUUAACACGAUGCAAGUCGAGGGGCAGCGCGGGUAGCGAAGUACCUGGCGGCGACCGGCGAAAGGGUGAGUAACGCGUGAGCAACGUGCCCGUAUGUGGGGGAUAGUCGAUGGAAACGUCGCGUAAUACCCCGUAAUACAUUGCUUUGCAUGAAGCGAUGUUGAAAGAUUUUAUUGCAUACGGAUCGGCUCGCGUGCCAUUAGGUAGACGGCGGGGUAACGGCCCACCGUGCCGACGAUGGCUAGGGGUUCUGAGAGGAAGGUCCCCCACAUUGGAACUGAGACACGGUCCAGACUCCUACGGGAGGCAGCAGUGAGGAAUAUUGGACAAUGGCCGGAAGGCUGAUCCAGCCAUGCCGCGUGCGGGACGACGGCCCUAUGGGUUGUAAACCGCUUUUGCGGGGGAGCAAUAAGUGUCACGUGUGACACGAUGAGAGUACCCUGCGAAUAAGCAUCGGCUAACUCCGUGCC
rnacentral:rRNA from 1 species